GACGAACGCUGGCGGCGUGCCUAAUACAUGCAAGUCGAGCGCGGGAAGCUAACUGAAUCCUUCGGGAGGACGUUAGCGGAACGAGCGGCGGACGGGUGAGUAACACGUGGGCAACCUGCCUGUAAGACUGGGAUAACCCCGGGAAACCGGGACUAAUACCGGAUAAUACUUUUUCUCACAUGAGGGGAAGUUGAAAGGUGGCUUCGGCUACCACUUACAGAUGGGCCCGCGGUGCAUUAGCUAGUUGGUGAGGUAACGGCUCACCAAGGCAACGAUGCAUAGCCGACCUGAGAGGGUGAUCGGCCACACUGGGACUGAGACACGGCCCAGACUCCUACGGGAGGCAGCAGUAGGGAAUCUUCCGCAAUGGACGAAAGUCUGACGGAGCAACGCCGCGUGAACGAAGAAGGUUUUCGGAUCGUAAAGUUCUGUUGUUAGGGAAGAACAAGUACCGUUCAAAUAGGGCGGU
rnacentral:rRNA from 1 species